rnacentral:rRNA from 1 species
UACGGGGGGGGCAAGCGUUGUUCGGAAUUACUGGGCGUAAAGGGCUCGUAGGUGGCCAACUAAGUCGGACGUGAAAUCCCUCAGCUUAACUGGGGAACUGCGUCCGAUACUGGAUGGCUUGAGUUUGGGAGAGGGAUGCGGAAUUCCAGGUGUAGCGGUGAAAUGCGUAGAUAUCUGGAGGAACACCGGUGGCGAAGGCGGCUACCUGGACAGAAACUGACACUGAGGUGCGAAAGCGUGGGUAGCGAACAGG